rnacentral:rRNA from 1 species
GACGAACGCUGGCGGCGUGCUUAACACAUGCAAGUCGAACGGAAAGGCCCUGCUUGCUGGGUACUCGAGUGGCGAACGGGUGAGUAACACGUGGGUGAUCUGCCCUGCACUUCGGGAUAAGCCUGGGAAACUGGGUCUAAUACCGGAUAGGAGCCAUUUUUAGUGUGAUGGUUGGAAAGUUUUUUCGGUGUAGGGUGAGCUCGCGGCCUAUCAGCUUGUUGGUGGGGUAAUGGCCUACCAAGGCGGCGACGGGUAGCCGGCCUGUGAGGGUGGACGGCCACAUUGGGACUGAGAUACGGCCCAGACGCCUACGGGAGGCAGAAGGGGGGAAGAUUGCACCAUGGGCGCAAGCCGGAUGCAGCGACGCCGCGGGGGGGAUGACGGCCUUCGGGUUGUAAACGCCUUUCGCGAGGGACGAAGCUUUUUGUGACGGUACCUAGAUAAGAAGCACCGGCUAACUACGUG